rnacentral:rRNA from 1 species
UACGUAGGGUGCAAGCGUUAAUCGGAAUUACUGGGCGUAAAGCGUGCGCAGGCGGUUAUGUAAGACAGAUGUGAAAUGCCCGGGCUUAACCUGGGAACUGCAUUUGUGACUGCAUGGCUAGAGUUUGGCAGAGGGGGGGGUAGAAUUCCACGUGUAGCAGUGAAAUGCGUAGAUAUGUGGAGGAACACCGAUGGCGAAGGCAGCCCCCUGGGUCAAGAUUGACGCUCAUGCACGAAAGCGUGGGGAGCAAACAGG